rnacentral:misc_RNA from 1 species
UUUCGAGUAUGCUCUCUAGCUAUCACGGCUUAGAGAGACAACCUUAAAAAGACUUGAUUUGGAUUAUAUUUGGUUGCCAAAGAUCAUAAAAUGUUCUUUUAUUAUUUUCGGGCGUAUAGCUCAGCUGGUUAGAGUACACCCCUGAUAAGGGUGAGGUCUCAGGUUCAAGUCCUGAUACGCCCACCAGUUCUUAGUCCUAUGUCUAAUGAAAGAGUUUCAGGAAACCUUUUCAUUAGACAUUCAUGUCUAAACGAUAUUUAACUUAUCAUUGUUAAGAGUCUAACGUAAUGUUGCUGAUAGUCAUAGUAAUAUGAUUAUCACAAAAAAAUUACAAUUUAACAGAAAAAGAUGACAACAGCAAUGUUGUCAUUCUUUCAUGUGCAAAAUACUCAAUAACCUUAUUAAAUGUGUUAUUAAUUACAUUUAGUAAGGUAGUACCUUAGAAUAAAAUAAAUUAAACUAAGGGCAGAUGGUGGAUGCCUUGACUAGUAGAGGCGAUGAAGGACGUACUAGGCUGCGAUAAGCCUCGGGGAGCUGCCAAGAAGCUUUGAUCCGAGGAUUUCCGAAUGGGGCAACCCAGCAUAUAGAGAUGUAUGUUACCCUGCGGGGAGCGAACCUGGGGAAGUGAAACAUCUCAGUACCCAGAGGAAAAGAAAUCAACCGAGAUUCCCAAAGUAGCGGCGAGCGAA